CCCCAGUAGCGGCGAGCGAACGGGGAGCAGCCCAGAGUCUGAAUCAGCUUGUGUGUUAGUGGAACGGUCUGGAAAGUCCGACGGUACAGGGUGAUAGUCCCGUACACCAAAAUGCACAGGUUGUGAACUCGAAGAGUAGGGCGGGACACGUGGUAUCCUGUCUGAAUAUGGGGGGACCAUCCUCCAAGGCUAAAUACUCCUGACUGACCGAUAGUGAACCAGUACCGUGAGGGAAAGGCGAAAAGAACCCCGGCGAGGGGAGUGAAAAAGAACCUGAAACCGUGUACGUACAAGCAGUGGGAGCACCUUCGGGUGUGACUGCGUACCUUUUGUAUAAUGGGUCAGCGACUUAUAUUCUGUAGCAAGGUUAACCGUAUAGGGGAGCCGCAGGGAAACCGAGUCUUAACUGGGCGUUAAGUUGCAGGGUAUAGACCCGAAACCCGGUGAUCUAGCCAUGGGCAGGUUGAAGGUUGGGUAACACUAACUGGAGGACCGAACCGACUAAUGUUGAAAAAUUAGCGGAUGACUUGUGGCUGGGGGUGAAAGGCCAAUCAAACCGGGAGAUAGCUGGUUCUCCCCGAAAGCUAUUUAGGUAGCGCCUCGUGAACUCAUCUUCGGGGGUAGAGCACUGUUUCGGCUAGGGGGUCAUCCCGACUUACCAACCCGAUGCAAACUACGAAUACCGAAGAAUGUUAUCACGGGAGACACACGGCGGGUGCUAACGUCCGUCGUGAAGAGGGAAACAACCCAGACCGCCAGCUAAGGUCCCAAAGUCAUGGUUAAGUGGGAAACGAUGUGGGAAGGCACAGACAGCCAGGAUGUUGGCUUAGAAGCAGCCAUCAUUUAAAGAAAGCGUAAUAGCUCACUGGUCGAGUCGGCCUGCGCGGAAGAUGUAACGGGGCUAAACCAUGCACCGAAGCUGCGGCAGCGACACUAUGUGUUGUUGGGUAGGGGAGCGUUCUGUAAGCCUGCGAAGGUGACCUGUGAGGGUUGCUGGAGGUAUCAGAAGUGCGAAUGCUGACAUAAGUAACGAUAAAGCGGGUGAAAAGCCCGCUCGCCGGAAGACCAAGGGUUCCUGUCCAACGUUAAUCGGGGCAGGGUGAGUCGACCCCUAAGGCGAGGCCGAAAGGCGUAGUCGAUGGGAAACAGGUUAAUAUUCCUGUACUUGGUGUUACUGCGAAGGGGGGACGGAGAAGGCUAUGUUAGCCGGGCGACGGUUGUCCCGGUUUAAGCAUGUAGGCUGGUUGUCCAGGCAAAUCCGGAUAAUCAAGGCUGAGGUGUGAUGACGAGGCACUACGGUGCUGAAGUAACAAAUGCCCUGCUUCCAGGAAAAGCCUCUAAGCAUCAGGUAACAUCAAAUCGUACCCCAAACCGACACAGGUGGUCAGGUAGAGAAUACCAAGGCGCUUGAGAGAACUCGGGUGAAGGAACUAGGCAAAAUGGUGCCGUAACUUCGGGAGAAGGCACGCUGGUGUGUAGGUGAAGUCCCUGCGGAUGGAGCUGAGACCAGUCGAAGAUACCAGCUGGCUGCAACUGUUUAUUAAAAACACAGCACUGUGCAAACACGAAAGUGGACGUAUACGGUGUGACGCCUGCCCGGUGCCGGAAGGUUAAUUGAUGGGGUUAUCCGUAAGGAGAAGCUCUUGAUCGAAGCCCCGGUAAACGGCGGCCGUAACUAUAACGGUCCUAAGGUAGCGAAAUUCCUUGUCGGGUAAGUUCCGACCUGCACGAAUGGCGUAAUGAUGGCCAGGCUGUCUCCACCCGAGACUCAGUGAAAUUGAACUCGCUGUGAAGAUGCAGUGUACCCGCGGCAAGACGGAAAGACCCCGUGAACCUUUACUAUAGCUUGACACUGAACAUUGAGCCUUGAUGUGUAGGAUAGGUGGGAGGCUUUGAAGCGUGGACGCCAGUCUGCGUGGAGCCAACCUUGAAAUACCACCCUUUAAUGUUUGAUGUUCUAACGUUGGCCCCUUACCGGGGUUGCGGACAGUGUCUGGUGGGUAGUUUGACUGGGGCGGUCUCCUCCCAAAGCGUAACGGAGGAGCACGAAGGUUAGCUAAUCCUGGUCGGACAUCAGGAGGUUAGUGCAAUGGCAUAAGCUAGCUUGACUGCGAGCGUGACGGCGCGAGCAGGUGCGAAAGCAGGUCAUAGUGAUCCGGUGGUUCUGAAUGGAAGGGCCAUCGCUCAACGGAUAAAAGGUACUCCGGGGAUAACAGGCUGAUACCGCCCAAGAGUUCAUAUCGACGGCGGUGUUUGGCACCUCGAUGUCGGCUCAUCACAUCCUGGGGCUGAAGUAGGUCCCAAGGGUAUGGCUGUUCGCCAUUUAAAGUGGUACGCGAGCUGGGUUUAGAACGUCGUGAGACAGUUCGGUCCCUAUCUGCCGUGGGCGCUGGAGAAUUGAGGGGGGCUGCUCCUAGUACGAGAGGACCGGAGUGGACGCAUCACUGGUGUUCGGGUUGUCAUGCCAAUGGCACUGCCCGGUAGCUAAAUGCGGAAGAGAUAAGUGCUGAAAGCAUCUAAGCACGAAACUUGCCCCGAGAUGAGUUCUCCCUGAGACUUUAAGUCUCCUGAAGGAACGUUAAAGACGAUGACGUUGAUAGGCCGGGUGUGUAAGCGCAGCGAUGCGUUGAGCUAACCGGUACUAAUGAACCGUGAGGCUUAACCUUACAACGCCGAAG
rnacentral:rRNA from 1 species